AGUGAACGCUGGCGGUAGGCCUAACACAUGCAAGUCGAACGGCAGCACAGUAAGAGCUUGCUCUUACGGUUGGCGAGUGGCGGACGGGUGAGGCAUACAUCGGAAUCUACUUUUUCGUGGGGGAUAACGUAGGGAAACUUAUGCUAAUACCUCAUACGUCCUACGGGUUAAAGCAGUGGAUCUUCGGAGCUUUGCCGACUCAAUGAGCUGAUGUCGGAUUAGCUAGUUGGCGGGGUAAAGGCCCACCAAGGCAACGAUCCGUAGCUGAUCUGAGAGGAUGAUCAGCCACACUGGAACUGAGACACGGUCCAGACUCCUACGGGAGGCAGCAGUGGGGAAUAUUGGACAAUGGGCGCAAGCCUGAUCGAGCAAUACCGCGUGGGUGAAGAAGGCCUUCGGGUUGUAAAGCCCUGUUAUUGGGAAAGAAAAGCAGCAGAUGUAUCCCCCGCUGUUCUGACGGUACCCAAAGAAUAAGCACCGGCUAACUUCGUG
rnacentral:rRNA from 1 species